AACGAACGCUGGCGGCAGGCCUAACACAUGCAAGUCGAGCGAGGACUUCGGUCCUAGCGGCGGACGGGUGAGUAACGCGUGGGAACGUGCCCUUUGCUUCGGAAUAGCCCUGGGAAACUGGGAGUAAUACCGGAUGAGCCCUCUGGGGGAAAGAUUUAUCGGCGAAGGAUCGGCCCGCGUUGGAUUAGGUAGUUGGUGCGGUAAUGGCCUACCAAGCCGACGAUCCAUAGCUGGUCUGAGAGGAUGCUCAGCCACGCUGGGACUGAGACACGGCCCAGACUCCUACGGGAGGCAGCAGUGGGGAAUCUUAGAAAAUGGGGGAAACCCUGAUAUAGCCAUGCCGCGUGAGCGAUGAAGGCCUUAGGGUUGUAAAGCUCUAUCAGCUGGACAGAUAAUGACGGUACAAGCAGAAGAAGCGCCGGCUAACUACGUG
rnacentral:rRNA from 1 species